GUUUGAUGGCGACCGGCGCACGGGUGCGUAACACGUAUCCAAUCUGCCCCGCGGGCUCGGGGGAUAGCCCAUCGAAAGAUGGAUUAAUACCCCGAUGGCGUGGUUUCUCCGCAUGGAGUUUCCACUAAAGGUUUUCCGGCCGCGGAUGAGGAUGCGUAUGAUUAGGUAGUAGGCGGGGUAACGGCCCACCUAGCCUUCGAUCAUUAGGGGUUCUGAGAGGAAGGUCCCCCACACUGGAACUGAGACACGGUCCAGACUCCUACGGGAGGCAGCAGUGAGGAAUAUUGGUCAAUGGGCGAGAGCCUGAACCAGCCAAGUAGCGUGAAGGAUGACUGCCCUAUGGGUUGUAAACUUCUUUUGUUCGGGAAUAAAGUUCAGUAUGUAUACUGUUUUGUAUGUACCGUUCGAAUAAGCAUCGGCUAAUUCCGUG
rnacentral:rRNA from 1 species